rnacentral:rRNA from 1 species
UAAUACGGAGGGUGCGAGCGUUAAUCGGAAUUACUGGGCGUAAAGGGUGCGUAGGUGGUUUGAUAAGUUAUCUGUGAAAGCCCUGGGCUCAACCUGGGAAGGCCAGAUAAGACUGUGAGACUCGAGUACAGGAGAGGGCAGUGGAAUUUCCGGUGUAGCGGUGAAAUGCGUAGAGAUCGGAAGGAACACCAGUGGCGAAGGCGGCUGCCUGGCCUGAUACUGACACUGAGGCACGAAAGCGUGGGGAGCAAACAGG